rnacentral:rRNA from 1 species
CUGCAGAUCUUUGUUAAAACCCACACUGGCAGGGGCUUUGUUCUUGAUGUCAAGAGUUCAGAUACGAUUCAUAACGUCAAGACCAAGAUUCAUGACAAGGAGGGUAUCCCUCCACAGCAGCAGCGUCUCAUAUUUGGUAGCAGCAAGGAGCUGGAGGAUGGACGGACCUUGGCAGACUACUGCAUCCGAAAGGAAUGCUUCCUUCGUCUUGUCUCUCGUAUGGAGAUUGUCAAACGAGAGGCUAGAAGCGCAUGCCGGAGAGGGGCGCGCUGCGUGUUUAUAUAG